GCGCUCGGCCGCGGCAGGGAGCGCCUGGUGCCGGCGGCGGGCGGGCUGGGGCGGGAGGACGGCCCGGGCGCGGCGGGGCUGCCGGCGGUUCUCGUCUCCCCGGCAGUGGCGGUGCUCAGCGGGCUGCUCGCGGUGCUGCCUUUUUUUCACUCGGAGCUGCGCCGCUGCCUCAGCGAGGAGGCGAGGAGCGGCGGCGGGGCCCGGGAGGGGGGUCGGCCCGCGGCGCCCUGCCGCCCCCCCCGCCGCCUCCGGGUGCCCGGGCAGCCGCCGCAGCUCUGCGCGGGGCUUUGUCUUUCCCCCAGCCGCCGGCCGGGGCCGUGGCAGCGGGCUGGGGCCGCAGGGGCUGCCCUGGGGCCUGCGGUAACGCUGGCGCAGGGGGGCGGCUCAGGAGCCUCUUCAGCCCCUGCGAGCGGGCACGACGAAAAAGAAAGCCGGCGGCGGAAAUUCCCCCCCGCCCCCGCGGCUGCUGUCUUUCUGUACAAAGUAUUACAAAGGGCAAGCGCGAGGAAUUGCUGGUGCCUCGUGGUUACGCAGCCGGGCCUGCUGGGCGCUUGAACCAGCGCGUCCAGUCAGGUAGCGUCAUUUUUCUAGUUUGUAAAUGAGCCUGAGGUUUCAGCCCCCUUACAUUUCUGUACGGCAGUGUACUUGGUCAGAGAGCUCAGUCGCACUGCCAGAGCUGGCGCAGAGUUCCCUUGGGACUCCAGACUUGACUGUCUUGUUGACAGGCUCGAGAGCCUGCUUUGGAAGUCACUUGGCAAGGCACAGCUUUGCCGUGGUUGUGGUACUUGAAUUCUGACUGUAAUGCCACUGCCACAUGUUAGCCUUUCUCCAGAAGUUACAAAAGCAGAAUGAGCGUUAAGAAUCUGAUUACCUUUUAACUAAAUUAAAAAAGAAAUUGCGGGAUGAAGUGACUGGAAGUCCUUCAGGUAUGACUGGGUGUUACUGCCGUGCAUGUUAUCCGCCUGUCUAGCGACCUUUCCUGCCUCUUGUUCAGUUGUGGUAAUUCCUUUGGGUAAUGCGUUGGGCUCUAGAUGUAGUGCAUCUUGACUUCCUCCUGACCCCCGAGAUGUUAUCGGUCUUUGCCUUCCUCACAUUUCACAGGGCGUGGGAAGGCCAGGGAGGCUGGAAUCCUCGGCUGUUGUGUGCGGAGAAGCUGUCAGCCUUCUAAGAGAGCAUGUAGCCAGCAAGCGCAUCGUGGUGCUUCGGUACCGAGCUGAUACCACAGGCCUCAAUCUUUUUGUGAAAAGGGAUCACAAGGAAAUGUGCUGAUGUUGAAGGGGGAGAGGUGGCGGGGGAAGAGACCGCUUUCCUUGCUCGCUGCUUUCAGAUUUGAGCGUCGAUGCCAUGGAUGUAACAGGAAAACAGCAGCAGGACGUAGAGCACAAGCCGUUUAAACAAUGCUUGGAUAAAGCUGCCAAUCGUGUGACUCCAGAAGCCGACAGACACGUGCUGUGAGUCUUGACAAAUUUGGGAAGAGCCCGAGGGAAAUUUUUCAUCCUGAGAUACAGAAGGGACCUGUGAAUUUUAAAUUUGGAGUCCUUUAUGCUAAGGGUGGGCAGCUUACAGAUGAUGAAAUGUUCAGCGAUGUGUGCGUUCCCACAAUUAAGUGGUGUGGAGCUGAAGGGGACUACAAUGGAAUGGGGAUGGAGCCGUUUGGACCGAGUCUUGAAGAUCUCUUCAGUUUUUGUUCAAGGAAAUUUAGUCUCGAGACAGUCCUGUUACUCGCUGACCAAAUGAUUAGUUGAAUUGAAUACGUUCACUCUGAGAACUUCAUCCACUGAGAUGUGAAGCCAGACAACUUCUUAAUGGGCCUUGGGAAGAAAGGCAAUCUUGUCUACAUAAUAGACUCUGGGUUAGCAAAGAAGUAGCGAGACUCUCAAACUCACCAACAUAUCCCAUAUCGUGAAAAUAAAAACUUAACAGGAACCGCC